UGGCCGUGUCCCUGCUUGCGGCAGAGU
rnacentral:sRNA from 1 species